rnacentral:misc_RNA from 1 species
UAUUUUUCUUUUUCUUUCUAGAAGAAAGCAAUCAUCAUAUUUUGCCUCUUCCCUUUUGCUCUUAUGCAAGGACCUUCAAGGUCACAUAUCAUCCAGCAUACAGUUGCAAACUACAAAGGAAAGAAGUGCCAAUUUCUGUACUCCCUUGUGAAUGGAGUAAAUAGAGCGAGAAGCUCUUAACCUCCUUUUUAAGCAUUGUUGACAAGACUUGCAGCUUUUUCCUAAUUUCUUAGAAAUGCUAUACUAGCUUCAUUGAAUAUAGUCUUCAUAGUAGUUGUCACUAAUCACAGAGACGAACCUCUCAAGCCAAGGAAGCUGAUGAAGAUCCUUCAUGGCAUCUACAUAUGAGUCUGUACGGUGGGGUGGGGAUUGAUAAGGAUGAUGAUCACUCAAACUGAAACCCCCAGCAAGAA